rnacentral:rRNA from 1 species
UGCUAUCUGCAGUCGAGCGGACGUUUUUGAAGCUUGCUUCAAAAACGUUAGCGGCGGACGGGUGAGUAACACGUGGGCAACCUACCUUAUCGACUGGGAUAACUCCGGGAAACCGGGGCUAAUACCGGAUAACAUCUAGCACCUCCUGGUGCUGGAUUAAAAGAGGGCUUCUUGCUCUCACGAUGAGAUGGGCCCGCGGCGCAUUAGCUAGUUGGAGAGGUAACGGCUCCCCAAGGCGACGAUGCGUAGCCGACCUGAGAGGGUGAUCGGCCACACUGGGACUGAGACACGGCCCAGACUCCUACGGGAGGCAGCAGUAGGGAAUCUUCCGCAAUGGACGAAAGUCUGACGGAGCAACGCCGCGUGAGUGAUGAAGGGUUUCGGCUCGUAAAGCUCUGUUAUGAGGGAAGAACACGUACCGUUCGAAUAGGGCGGUACCUUGACGGUACCUCAUCAGAAAGCCACGGCUAACUACGUGCCAGCAGCCGCGGUAAUACGUAGGUGGCAAGCGUUGUCCGGAAUUAUUGGGCGUAAAGCGCGCGCAGGCGGCCUUUUAAGUCUGAUGUGAAAUCUUGCGGCUCAACCGCAAGCGGCCAUUGGAAACUGGGAGGCUUGAGUACAGAAGAGGAGAGUGGAAUUCCACGUGUAGCGGUGAAAUGCGUAGAUAUGUGGAGGAACACCAGUGGCGAAGGCGACUCUCUGGUCUGUAACUGACGCUGAGGCGCGAAAGCGUGGGGAGCAAACAGGAUUAGAUACCCUGGUAGUCCACGCCGUAAACGAUGAGUGCUAGGUGUUAGGGGUUUCGAUGCCCGUAGUGCCGAAGUUAACACAUUAAGCACUCCGCCUGGGG